UACCCCUGGUGGGUGUGCUCGGGCCCGGCCAUCCUUCUGUCAACUUUCGCGCGUCCUUCACCGGUCGGCAAAGGGAUCAGAUAAUUUACCUUGAAGAAAAUUAGAAGUGUUUCAGGCAGGCUUAGCCGGAAUACAUUAGCAUGGAAUAAUGGAAUAGGACUGAGGUCUCGUUGUUGGUUACGUGGACUACAGUAAUGAUUAAUAGGGACAGUUGGGGG
rnacentral:rRNA from 1 species